rnacentral:tRNA from 1 species
UGAGCUAGUAGUUAAAUAAUAACAUCUAAAUUGCAAUUAGAAAUAAUUGAAAUCUCAAUCUAACCCAA